rnacentral:lncRNA from 1 species
AUGGACGUGAUGGAGAAGUCUCGGCGAGCUAACUUCUUGUUCGACGACGACGACCAAACGCCGCCCAGGCAGAACGGCCGCCGGAACGUCGACCAGCACAACAGCGACGACGGCGACGUCGACAGCGUCCGCGUGUCGUGCUGCGGCGGCGUCGCAAAGCCAGAGGCCAAGUCGUCGUCGACUGCGAAGGACGUCGUCGUCACCGGCCGUCCUGCUGCAGGCUCCAACCGUACCUGAUCUUAUUCUU